AAUCAAAUCAUGGAUAUCGCUCAGACUAAUACUCUAAUUACUUUUGGACGGCUCACUUCUUUCAAAAAUAUAAUGUAUUUCACUUAUCGUUAAUAUCAACACGAUAUAUGUUUUACGUAUCCUCAUCAGAUGUACAUUAUGUAAAAUAAGUACCCGGAAUUUGUAAAUAAAACUCAAAUUGCUUACUUAAUCAUCCAAAUUUAUUUUGUCGCCUUCAAAGUGGGCCCCAUCAGAAGCAAUGCACAUACGCCAACGCUUCUCCCAGUCUUCAAAACACUUUUUAAAUGCUGAAGAAGGUAGCGCCUUGAGCUCCUUCUGCGAAUUUUCUUUUAUGGCCUCUAUCGACUCAAAACGCCUUCCCCAAAGGGGUAAUUUGAGUUUUGUAAAUAAGAAAAAGUCACAGGGGGCCAUAUCUGGUGAAUACGGUGCUUGUUCGAUCACAUUUGUUGAGUUCUUGGCCAAAAAUUCGCGUACCAAGAUCAAUGUGUAAAAGUACACUCGAGAUCGUUUGGUGUAAAUAACUGCCGUGAACACACUGGUUGUCAUAUUGCAAUCAAAUUUAGCGUAACAACUGAAUACAAUGUUGCCUACUUACACACAAAAAUUUGUUUCAAUACAUGCACUGUGGGAUUUGAAAGUGAGAAAUUCCGUGAACUUAUUUUACACAAUGUAU